UUGAACGCUGGCGGCAUGCCUUACACAUGCAAGUCGAACGGUAACGCGGGGGCAACCCUGGCGACGAGUGGCGAACGGGUGAGUAAUACAUCGGAACAUAUCCAGUAGCGGGGGAUAACCUAUCGAAAGAUUGGCUAAUACCGCAUACGAUCUACGGAUGAAAGCGGGGGACCGCAAGGCCUCGCACUAUUGGAGUGGCCGAUGUCAGAUUAGCUAGUUGGUGGGGUAAAAGCCUACCAAGGCGACGAUCUGUAGCUGGUCUGAGAGGACGAUCAGCCACACUGGAACUGAGACACGGUCCAGACUCCUACGGGAGGCAGCAGUGGGGAAUUUUGGACAAUGGGCGCAAGCCUGAUCCAGCCAUGCCGCGUGAGUGAAGAAGGCCUUCGGGUUGUAAAGCUCUUUCGGUGAAGACGAAACGGUUAUUGUUAAUAACAGUGACUAAUGACGGUACUCACAGAAGAAGCACCGGCUAACUACGU
rnacentral:rRNA from 1 species